rnacentral:miRNA from 10 species
UGAUAUUAGGUUGGUGCAUAAGUAAUUGCAGCAUUACUUUAAUGGCAAAAACUGCAGUUACUUUUGCACCAACCUAAUA